UCUGAUGAUUCCCGAUAAAACAUUUUCAGAGUUGCAGACUGCGAAAACUACAUUGGGUUGGAAGUGGGCAACUCUGUUGACAAUUGUACUCACGAAGGACCAUUCCACACAUUCGCUUCUGAACAAAAUAAAAGCCUCAAAUCCAGCCGAAGAAAUUUAAUAUUUGGAUUUCAAGGAAUGCCAUGUGGUAGACAUGGAAUCAGGCACUGAGUGGUAUUACCAUGACUCACUUCUUCCAGAUGCUGCCAGACUAGUUGAAAAUUUUCUUCCUGACACAACCUUGCGAUCUUGAAAUCAAGUCACCCCUGCAAUGCCUUCCAGGCGCCUUCCAGCACAGUCUUGACUCGCUAGGGAGCACAGCCCUCUGAGCAGAAUGAAGUCUGACCUCUCACUGUCAUCGGUUAUUGAGCUCAGCACAACAAAUAAAGCCCCAUUUACAGGAGAUUAUCAGGAGCUGUAACCUGAGAACAAGCACGUGACCUUCACAAAACAUUUUCUUUUUCCACGUCCCCCUCAGUGGAUUCAUACAGCUGAGCAGCUCUUAUGUCUAAUUUAUUGUGGUGAGGAGACUUUGGUGUCGAAUUCAGAUGAAUAAAACCGACAUGAUCUAUGCUAAUUGACCCCGACCACCGAUUACUUUGUGGAGAUGACACACUAAUCUUUAACACUGCUGCAAUUCAAUCCCAAACACUUUCCCAUUUUAUAUUUGAAAUUCUAAGGAAACAGCCAGCACCUGGAUGGAUCUGUGCGAAAAAUGUUCCUGUAAAUCUCCUUUGCACGGUCUGUAAGUCCUCCAGAAUGUUUUAUAAUAUGCCAGACAUUGAUAUAUC